AGGGGUGCGGAGGGCAAAGUGGGAGAGAUUCCCACACAGAGGAUCGGCGCCGACCAGCACUCACCAGCCUGAGAGGUCUGUGAUCUUUGAUGUUACUACUGAAAUUGUUUUGCAGUGCCAUGAACCACACACCCAUAUAAGAUGGUCAUCAAGGCCAGGAAAAGCAAGGAACAACCAUUCAAUCCUGAAUCAUAUAUGGAAACCUGGCUCGAGCUGUUCUUCUAAAAACCUGGAUGUCAUUAAUAUUGAUGUUUAUGGAGCUAAGAUCUAAGUACAGAAAAAAUAUAUAUAUAUUUUAAGUAUAUAUAUAUAUAUAUAUAAAUAUAUAUAUAUAUGCUUGAAAUACAGCAAUAUAUAUACUAGCUAUUAAUUCUUAGGAAUGGGGUGUUAGGGGUGCUUUUCACCUUCUUUUUUAUACUUUACUAUCUCAAUGCCAUAUUUUGCAUCUAUAACUUUUAUAAUUUGGAAAAAAUAAUAAGCAUCAUGUUUUUUCCUAUAGGCUUGCCUCCCUAGCAGUCUAAUUCAUUGGUUUGUUGCUUAAAAGCAAAUAAUCUGUGGCCUGCAGAUCAGAUAGGGACACCUAAGCCCCAAGCGAUAUUUGAAUUUAUACUUUGGGUGUGAUCUUUACAGGAUAUAACUCUGGUCAAGAAUGAACAGGUUGAUGCUCCACCAGAAUUGGUGCUUUAUAGGUCUAACGCCCAAGCUGAGGCCUUCCAAAGCAGAUGGCAGUGCUCGCACUCACUGCAAGUUUAUCUCAUGAUGUAACAGGACAGAGUCCGGAGCCUGUAUCCAGGUUUCCUUCUAUUUUGACUGAGUCAAAAUUAGCCAGACCUUGACUGGAACUGAGCUGCUGUCUAUCUUCAUGGUGAAGGAAGGGCAUUGGCUAGGUGAGCUUAUGUAAACAAAAAGGCAGCAGAAAGUUUAGUUUCCUUGAGAUUCCAAGUUUUACAUAAUGUAUACUGCUGAUAUCAAAUGAGUCUUAUUUAGACCAUGGUACCCACUUUUUCUAUGGAGUUGUGUUAAAGAAAAUAAAAUUGUCUUUUAUUUUAAAAAAAAGAAUGACAGGUUGAACAAGCUGUGCCCUGCUCAAAGAAACCCAAGAGGAAGCCAGACCAGCUGAAAUCCAGUCUAUGCUUCAAUUGCCAACCCUUAUCCUAGGGUGGAGUUGCUUUAGUCCAAAACAAUGAUAUCUUUUCAGAAUUGAUCUCCUGGAGGGGCCAUAAUUGGGUAAUUUGUGUACCAUAUAAGGUAGCUUCUGGUGAUUUGCAUGAAGUCUCUAGUAUAUGUGGGAAGUAAUUCUAGCCCUGUCUGACGUGAAAUAGCUGGUUCCACUUAUUUACUCAGGUACCAACAGGUUAGUAGCUCUCCAGAUAUAUUUCCUGGUCCUCAUAUAUGUGGAUCCUAUGAGAAAGUUGCUCCAGGCAAAGACUUGCAUUAGGCAAACACUGAAGAAUAAUUCAUUUACUUUAGGGUACAAUGACAGAAAGUAGAUAUCUAACACUGAUUUUACAGUGUAUUUUUUUUAUUUUAUAGAAAUAUAGUUGAUUUACAACCUUGUAACAUUAUAAUGUAUUGUUUCCGCUGUACAGAAAAGUGAUUCAGUUAUACAUAUAAAUAUAUUCUUUUUCAUAUUCUU